UUGUAUAUAAUUAUCGAGCAUCCUCACAGCGACUUCAUAAUUUUUAGAAGAGGAUGAAGUUGUGCAAAUUAAACUACCAUAUUCUUUACCAGCUACCAUGGGGCUAUACCAUUUACCUACAUACAUGUGCGAAACGAGUGACAAACAGUAUAUAUGCUGAUGGACACAAAAAGAAAACCCGGAAGUGAUGCGUAAAAAUUAACAAGAGUUUCUUGCUAGUUCUUCAGCCUUGUGAUACCGUUCUU
rnacentral:lncRNA from 1 species